UGCCCCUACGGGAGGCAGCAGUGGGGGAUAUUGGACAAUGGGGGGAACCCUGAUCCAGCGACGCCGCGUGAGUGAAGAAGUAUUUCGGUACGUAAAGCUCUAUCAGCAGGGAAGAAAAAUGACGGUACCUGACUAAGAAGCCCCGGCUAACUACGUGCCAGCAGCCGCGGUAAUACGUAGGGGGCAAGCGUUAUCCGGAUUUACUGGGUGUAAAGGGCGUGAAGGCGGGCAUG
rnacentral:rRNA from 1 species